CAGAUAAGGAUUCUAAAACAUUCUAAAGAACUUGGAGUAAAUUUGAAAUCGUAAAACUUUUCUCAAAUCAACAACUUCAAAGCCACAGGCACUCGACGUUUCAAAUAUCUAGAUUAUUUUUUUUCUUUCUAUCAACAACAUAUCAACAAGGUAUAUCCCGCCACCAUUUGGUUUUAUGCUGAUUUUUUUUAUCCCUGUCAUUUGUAGGAAUAGAAGAGAAGGUCAGCCAUCAGACAGAGACGAUUGUCGGCAGUGUUGUCGGCAGUGUGGCUUUCAUCGUCGCUGUUUUAGUCAUUGGGAUCUUCCUCAGAAGGCGUUAUAAAUGCACCUGCAUGCUAAAAAUGGGGAUAGAGCGCAUAGACGAAAAUGUAAAAGCAGCUGACAUGUCUAAAGAUGAAUCUCAAAUUUCUUUGGCAGGUAAGUGAUUGCAUCAUAUUGAAAACGUCCACAUACGGAACUGCCAGUCCAGCCCAACAUUAAUUGUUAUUCUUGUGAAUAAGAUAUUGUUUAAGUUACUUGCCCAGUCAUCAGGAAUAAUAA